CUUUCCAUCUGCGCGGGAUCUAGAUUUUGGCUUACACGUCUGUUGAUGCUGGCCUUCCUUGUGGAUAUUUUAUUCUUUGUAUUCUACUCGAAGGGUUCCAAUCUUCUCACACAAUUCUUCCAAGUUUUUUUCCACGAGAGAAUCCAAGGCAUUGCCUCAUUCUUCAACAUGUUUUGCAGUUUUGCUUUUUUUUUUUUGUUA